ACAGCCCAGUGGUAGAGCAUCUGUCUUGCAUACAGAAGGCUCCAGGCUCAGUCCCUGGCAUCUGCA